GUUUUAAUAUUAGUAUGUCCCAUGCAAUAUUUGGGUCAUACUUAUAUUAAAA
rnacentral:pre_miRNA from 1 species